rnacentral:misc_RNA from 1 species
AAAAAAAACUGGCGGUUGUCCUGCAGUGUCACCAACUAUAUACGGGUCCUACCAUGUAGUAUGUUAUAUUUGCAUUAUAAGCGUAUAUCCUGAGUGUUGCUUACAUGCUCAUGCAAACCAUGAGACUCUGCUGACUGCAAACCUGUGUUUGUCCUUUGGUUUUGUCCCCUUUUGUACAUAUUUAGUUUUACCCUUCUACACAAUUGUUCCGAUGGAAGUUGUUUCCUUAACAUAUGCUGAAAGUUCUAGGACUAGAUUCUUCUAUUUCCCCCCGCACUUAAAGAUAUCAGGUCAGUUACCUGAUAUCUUUAAGUGCGGUGGAUUUUUUCGAGUGAUUGGUAGAACGCCCG